rnacentral:rRNA from 1 species
CGCGCAGGCGGCCUUUUAAGUUGGAUGUGAAAGCCUAUGGCUCAACCAUAGAACUGCAUCCAAAACUAUUAGGCUAGAGUGUGGGAGAGGAAGAUGGAAUUAGUUGUGUAGGGGUAAAAUCCGUAGAGAUAACUAGGAAUACCAAAAGCGAAGGCAAUCUUCUGGAACAUUACGGACGCUGAGGCGCGAAAGCGUGGGGAGCAAACAGGAUUAGAUACCCUGGUAGUCC